GCUUGCUGAUUGAUACCAAUUGAUACUACAUGAAAGCCGGCCUCUCAACGCGCGAAUCGAAAGCGUUGGUUCCAAUCCAACCAAUCAGAGCUUUAGGCCCAGUAGUUCUAAUCAGUGCAGGGAGUUAUUAUUUCUAAAUAACAACUCCCUGGUCAGUGUAACAAGUUCCUGGUAAAGAGAGAUCAGUUGCCUAAAUUCGUGGUGUUGUUAAUAAUUUAUUGACUCACAACACAAAAUGGAUGCAUGAUGUUAAAAUGAUGUAUAGAGGACAAAGAAGAAGACCGAAACAACGACUGGAAAAAAAUAAUGAGAAAGAAGUUGUAGAGAACGUUUGUGAAGCAAGCUAGCAGAUCACAAUACGGAUUAGGAACACAUGAUGUCUAUUUUAUUCAUGAUUUCAAUUCAAUGCUGUACUGUACGUCAACAUGCAUUUAUGAAGGGCGUAGAAAAAUCGCAUGAUGUGCCCAGUGAUUAUAUUGGAAGGACUUGAAAAACCAGCAUGUUUUGCUGUGCGAAAAGUAAUUUUGCGAGUAAUGGAUAAGAACUGAUUUAAAUCUUGAUUGGAUGAAAUCGGAAGUACAGUAGAUUACAACAGACUGAAACAGAGUUGGCUGAUGUUAGGUAAAGCAAGAGGCUUCGUGAUGGCCUGAAGGCAAACAUAAAAAAAAUGCAAGCUCGUUGAAGAGUACAGACAAAUUGAGGAUAUUCAUUCCUAGUCAACCUUCCUGUACCAAACUUUUUCUUAAUUUGUUCCGGGCAAUGUUUUGGCCAGAAAGAACACUUAUCGAUACCAAAGACAGCUACAAGUAUGAACCAGAUGAAGUGUAUUAUCUGUAUCUACACUAAUUGUAAACCUUUGGAAGAAAAAGGUAUCCAAAGUUAAAUAUGGGAGCGAAGAGCAGUCUUCCAUAUUAUAAGAAUAUGAAAAAAGUUGUGUGAUCUUCAAGCCAUGAGCACACCACCACUAAGCACCUUGCAACAGAAAAACACAGGCACAUGUUUAUUGUGGAUUUGCGAAGACAGGCAUUCAGUAAGAGUUUGUUAUUGCAUGAAGCAGAUAAACAAUUGGAUGUCCAGUCCGAUUUGUUGAAAGCUUGGAUAACUAAAGCUGACAAACUGGGGCAAACCCAAGCUGUAGAGAAGGUUGAGCAAAGAAAUGCAUUGUGGGAAAUCAGGACUGAUUAGUUUGAACCCUGGUAACUGAAGCUUAGCAACAUCAGACUUUGAGAUAAAGCGUGGAAGUCAAAUUUUAACGUAUAGAAAUGAAGUAAUGAACAAUUGAGAAAUAGACUAUUAUUUGUUUGAAUUAUGUAGUGUACAGUAUACUGGUACUUGAAGCUUUAGUGAACUCUGAUGUAUGGAGAUGAAGCAGAUAAAUUGUGGAAAGUCUAAACCACAACAGACAUUUGUUGUGCAUUCAUAAAAUGAAUGAUUAUAAAUUGAAGUACUGUUUGCCAAGUGAAGUUUGUGAUUUAUUAAGUAAAGUAAGUGUUGAACUUUCAAAAUGCUGAAGUUUUUGUCAGAUUCUGGACCUAGUUAAAAAUAGAAUGUCGGUCAAAUUCAGAACUUAAUUUAAAAGGCUGGUCCCAUUGUGAGUUAAUCUUCUGGACUUAGUUAAAAUGGCUUAUAGAUAAAAUUCUGAAUUUUAGUUUUUGUUGGACCAAUUCUGGUCUGUAGUGUAAAUUAUUGGUCCUAUUCUGGACUUACAGUAGUUAAAAUGUUGGUCCAAUUCCGGACUUGGUUAAAAUCCUGGACUUGGUGUAAAAUAUUGGUCUAAUUCUGAACUUAGUGUAAAUUAUUGGUCCUAUCUUGGACUUAUUGUAAAAUCCUGGACUUGGUGUAAAAUAUUGGUCCAAUUCUGGACUUUAGUGUACAUGUAUGGUUGAGUCCUAUUCUGGACUUAGUUAAAAUUCUGGACUUAAUGUAAAUGGUUGAGUCCUAUUCUGGACUUAGUUAAAUUAAUGUAAAUGUUGAGUCCUAUUCUGGACUUGGUUAAAUUAAUGUAAAUUGUUGAGUCCUAUUCUGGACUAAGUUAAUUUAUGGACUUAGUGUUAAUGGUUGAGUCCUAUUCUGGACUUAGUUAAAUUAAUGUUAAUGGUUGAGUCCUAUUCUGGACUUAGUUAAAUUAAUGUAAAUGGUUGAGUCCUAUUCUGGACUUAGUUAAAAUUCUGGACUUAA